UACGGAGGGGGGCGAGCGUUAUUCGGAAUUAUUGGGCGUAAAGGGCUCGUAGGCGGCCAACUAAGUCAGACGUGAAAUCCCUCGGCUUAACCGGGGGAACGGCCUCUGAUACUGGCUGGCUGGAGUUCGGGAGAGGGAUGCGGAAUUCCAGGUGUAGCGGUGAAAUGCGCAGAUAUCAGGAAGAACACCCGUGGCGAAAGCGGCUCUCUGGAACGGUACUGACGCUGAGGCGCGACAGCGUGGGGAGCGAACUGG
rnacentral:rRNA from 1 species